rnacentral:rRNA from 1 species
ACGCUCGACACCUACGGGAGCAGCAGUCGGGAAUAUUGCGCAAUGGAGGAAACUCUGACGCAGUGACGCCGCGUAUAGGAAGAAGGUCUUCGGAUUGUAAACUAUUGUCGUUAGGGAAGAAAAAGGACAGUACCUAAGGAGGAAGCUCCGGCUAACUACGUGCCAGCAGCCGCGGUAAUCUGAGCGGGCUGGCAAGGC